rnacentral:rRNA from 1 species
GGGCCUUGCGCUAUCAGAUGAGCCUAGGUCGGAUUAGCUAGUUGGUGAGGUAAUGGCUCACCAAGGCGACGAUCCGUAACUGGUUUGAGAGGAUGAUCAGUCACACUGGAAAUGAGACACGGUCCAGAUUCCUACGGGAGGCAGCAGUGGGGAAUAUUGGACAAUGGGCGAAAGCCUGAUCCAGCCAUGCCGCGUGUGUGAAGAAGGUCUUCGGAUUGUAAAGCACUUUAAGUUGGGAGGAAGGGUUGUAGAUUAAUACUCUGCAAUUUUGACGUUACCGACAGAAUAAGCACCGGCUAACUCUGUGCCAGCAGCCGCGGUAAUACAGAGGGUGCAAGCGUUAAUCGGAAUUACUGGGCGUAAAGCGCGCGUAGGUGGUUUGUUAAGUUGGAUGUGAAAUCCCCGGGCUCAACCUGGGAACUGCAUCCAAAACUGGCAAGCUAGAGUAUGGUAGAGGGUGGUGGAAUUUCCUGUGUAGCGGUGAAAUGCGUAGAUAUAGGAAGGAACACCA